UCACGUGACUCGGCGGCCAGCUCGCUCGCGGAAGUGGCCGGGUCUGCGCGGCCGGCGCGGGGUCUGGGCGCCUCGCAGGGCAGGCCGGCGCGGCCUGCAGCCGGGCGCCAGGAUGGUGCAGCUGUACAACCUGCAUCCGUUUGGGUCGCAGCAGGUGGUUCCCUGCAAGCUGGAGCCGGAGCAUUUCUGCGGCGGGGGGCGCGACGCACUGUUCGUGGCGGCCGGCUGCAAGGUAGAGGCGUUCGCCGUGACCGGCCAGGAGCUGUGCCAGCCGAGAUGCGCCUUCUCCACGCUGGGCAGGGUGCUGCGCAUGGCCUACAGCGAGGCGGGGGACUACUUGGUAGCAAUUGAAGAAAAAAACAAGGCUACCUUCCUACGAGCUUAUGUGAACUGGAGAAGUAAAAGGGCAGAGAACUCCCGCGUGUGUAUCCGAAUGGUGGGGCAUAAUGUGGAGGCGCCCCUGAGGGAAUCCUUCAGAGACCAGAUGUCUAUUGUUGAAAUGCCCCUCUCGGAGGCCCCCUUGUGCAUUUCCUGUUGCCCUGUGAAAGGAGACCUCCUCGUUGGCUGCACAAAUAAGUUAGUCUUAUUUAGUUUGACAUACCGGGUCAUUAAUGAGGAAUUCUCAAUACUGGACUUCGAGCGUUCUUUAAUUAUCCACUUAGAUAAUAUCACUCCUGUCGAAAUCUCUUUUUGUGUUGGAUAUGUUGCUGUCAUGUCAGAUUUGGAAAUCUUAAUCCUAAAACUGGAAUCGGACUCUAAAAAUGGACAGAGAGUUAACCACCAUCCUCGUGAGGCCAGCAAUACGGUAAAACAGACAAAUACAGAUUUCAGUAAUGAAACUUCACAGAUUGAGUCAGAUGACUUUGUUAUCUGUCAGAAGCCCAUGGAGCUACUUGGUGAAAACAGUGAGCAGUCUGGAAUAUCAGUUACACUGGAACCUACAGGAUUAGCUGAUGAAAAAAUAAAAUACUUCCAUGUCCAGCAUCUUCUCUAUAGACGUUUUACUCCUGAUAUUUCCUUUUAUGCCUUAUCUGAUGACAUCAGGUUACAUUCUCUUCAACUGCUACCCAUUUACCAAACAGGAUCUCUAACUUCUGAUGAAAAAACUUUGUCUCACGGAAAAGAGUUGCUGAGUCUCUUUUGUUUUUUCUCAUUACCUCAUGCGGGCUACCUCUACAUGGUUGUCAAGUCUGUUGAGUUAAUGUCGGUGUACCAGUACCCUGAAAAGUCUCAGCAGGCGGUGCUCACACCACAGUUUCUGCAUGUCAUCACCAGAAACAACCUGCAGUGUUUCACAGUGCGGUGUAGCGCGGCUGCAGCUCGUGAGGAGGACCCCUACAUGGACACCACGCUGAAGGCUUGCCCACCUGUUAGUAUGGAUGUCUGUGCUCUAAGAAUACAGCUUUUUAUAGGCUUGAAAGCUAUGUGUCAUUUUAGAAAUCAUGUAGUUCUUUUGACCAAGGCAGAGCCAGAAGCCUUUCCAGAGAGAAGAGAAUCACCCAGAAAGUUGCUUUCUAGAAAAGAUACCAGUGUUAAGAUCAAACCACCUGUAGCUGAGGCUGGCUGGAGUUUGUAUAUUGUGAAUACGACCUCACCAGUACAACUGUACAAAGAAAUGGUAGACUAUAGUAACACCUACAAGACUGUGAAAACCCAGAGCUGCAUCCACCUUCUCAGCGAGGCCCAUCUGUUAGUGAGAGCUGCCUUGAUGGAUGCCAGUCAGCUGGAACCCGGAGAGAAAGCAGAGCUUUUGGAGGCAUUUAAAGAAAGCUGUGGGCACCUUGGAGAUUGUUACAGCAGGCUUGACACCCAGAAUUCCCACCUCGCCUUACCGUACUAUAAGAUGUCUGGUUUGUCUCUGGCUGAAGUUCUGAACCGCGUGGAUUGGGCAACAGAGGAUGAAUCUCAGAAAUAUGAGAGGGGAUUGAUCUUUUAUAUUAAUCAUUCACUUUAUGAAAACCUGGAUGAAGAAUUAAGUGAAGAAUUGGCAGCAAAAGUGGUUCAGAUGUUUCAUGUAGCCGAACCAAAACAAUUGCCUCAUGUUCUCUGUAGUCCUUGUAUGAAGAAUGUGAAUCCCUUAACUGCCUUGAGAUACCUGAGGAAGCUGGAUACCUGUGGAUUCUCCUCAAUUUUAGUGACACUGGUCAAAGCAGCACUGGCUCUAAGGAUGGGAGAACUUGACAUGUAUAGGAAUGAAAUGAAAAGUCAUUCAGAGAUGAAGUUGGUGUGUGGCUUCAUUCUGGAACCUCGGCUACUGGUUCAGCAGAGGAAGGGACAGGUUGUUCCAACAGACCUUGCAGUUCACUUGAAGGAGACUCAGCCUAGACUGCUUGUGGGUGCAGUCCUGGGUUUGCAGAAGAACAACAAAAUUGGAAUUGAAGAGGCCGAUUCUUUCUUUAAGGUGCUCUGUGGUAAAGAUGAAGAUACGAUUCCUCAGCUCUUGGUAGACUUCUGGGAGGCGCAGCUGGUGGCCUGUCUCCCAGAUGUGGUACUUCAGGAGCUCUAUUGCAAGCUCGUAUCACAGUACAUCUGGAGGUUAUCUAAGAGGCAACUUCCUGACACCAUACCCUUGAGAACAUCAGAGGAUCUGAUAAAUGCCUGUAGUCAUUAUGGCUUAAUCUAUCCCUGGGUUCAUGUUUUAAUGUCAUCUGAUUCCUUAGCUGAUAAAAAUUAUACAGACGACCUUUCAAAAUUACAGUCUCUUAUAUGUGGUCCUUCAUUUGACAUAGCUUCUGUUGUUCCCUUCUUGGAGCCACUCUCAGAAGACACUGUUGCUGGCCUCAGUGUCCAUGUUCUGUGUCGUACCCGUUUGAAAGAGUAUGAACAGUGCAUAGAUACACUGUUAGAGAGAUGCCCAGAGGCGGUCAUUCCAUAUGCUAAUCAUGAGCUGAAAGAAGAGAACCGGACAGACUCUAUGGUGGAAAAAACUUCUGCCUGAACUUUGUCAGAGAGUAAAGUGUGGUGGAGAGAAAUACCAGCUUUACCUGUCAUCAUUAAAAGAAACAUUGUCAGUUGUUGCUGUGGACCUAGAAUUAAGAGAUUUCUUGAACGUUCUCCCAGAAGAUGGCACUGCAGCAUUUUUCUUGCCUUAUCUUCUUUAUUGUAGUCGAAAGAAAUCGUUGGCAUGAAGGUGUAAUUUGAAAAAUGCCACAAGAGCAUAUGAAACUGAAUUUUUAAAAAUUCAGCGCCAGAUUAAAAAAAAAAACAAGUCUAUGAUUUUAUUUUUUAAGAGAUGAAUUCAAGAUGCUUAUUUUACCAAGUGGUAGGAACUAUUGAUUUCUUAAUUAUAUCCUGAACCCACUUAAUUGUACAGAAUGUAAAAAAGCUUCACGGUGGAAGACUUCCUCAAAGAAAUGCUGUUUGUAAAGGUAGACACUGACUUUUAUUCCAAGGAAGACCAGCGACUUGUUUGAGGACGUAACAGGCAUUUUCAUCCCGGGAACACUAUGAGAAAACUUCUCCACGUGUCUAGAAUCUUCUUGAAUUUUCCGGAUUUCUCUACUGGGUUACUUUUCUUCUUAAAUGAUUCUCUUUGAGAAAGAUGUAAAUGUUUUGUUACAAUAAAAGAUUUAAACAUUAUUUUCUUGUAACUUUUAAAACUCAUACUGUGUUUCUCUCUGAAUGCAAUGAAGCUGGUUCCUGUGAAUCAUUGAGUGCCGUAUGUUUCUCACCCAAAACUUUGUUGCCAUUUUUGCUGAUAUGUAUUCUUGGUCUUUCAGCUAGAGUAAAUGUGAAAAUAAAAAACUAUAUCAUGACAUCCACAA